UACGUAGGGUGCGAGCGUUGUCCGGAAUUAUUGGGCGUAAAGAGCUUGUAGGCGGUUUGUCGCGUCUGCUGUGAAAAUCCGGGGCUCAACCCCGGACUUGCAGUGGGUACGGGCAGACUAGAGUGUGGUAGGGGAGACUGGAAUUCCUGGUGUAGCGGUGAAAUGCGCAGAUAUCAGGAGGAACACCGAUGGCGAAGGCAGGUCUCUGGGCCACUACUGACGCUGAGAAGCGAAAGCGUGGGGAGCGAACCGG
rnacentral:rRNA from 1 species